UUCAUUAUUCUGCUAACGUUAGCGAUGGGUAAGAACCUAUCCUGUUCGCGAGCCGACAGCUCGCUGUUCGUGUUGCUGUUGUUGUGCCCACCUGAUUCAUUGUCUGAAUCCGCCAUUAAAAUCAAAAUUCAAGAAAAAUAAAACCUAGUUAGAUCUCAAAAAUCUCAAACUUUCACCAGUGGUUUUAGAGGAUGUAAGGGGUAUAAGAGGGUGGGGAAGGGGUAAAUUGGGAAACGAAGAAAAUCGCC
rnacentral:misc_RNA from 1 species